GAUGAACGCUAGCUACAGGCUUAACACAUGCAAGUCGAGGGAGCGGCGCGCGGGUGAGUAACAUGUAUCCAACCCGCCUUUUACUCGGUGAUAGCCUUUCGAAAGAAAGAUUAAUACCCGAUAUAAAGGAUGGGGAUGCGUUCCAUUAGGUUGUGGGUGAGGUAACGGCUCACCAAGCCUUCGAUGGAUAGGGGUUCUGAGAGGAAGCACCCCCAGAUUGGAGCUGAGACCCGGUCCAAACUCGGACGGGAGGGAGGGGUAAGGAAUAUUAGGCAAUGGGCGCUAGCCUGAACCAGCCAAGUAGCGUAAAGGAUGAAGGCUUUUGGGUCGUAAACUUCCGUUAUAUAAGAAUAGGUAUUAGAAGAAUAAGGAUCGGCUAACUCCGUGCCAGCAGCCGCGGUAAUAC
rnacentral:rRNA from 1 species